rnacentral:rRNA from 1 species
GUGGGGAAUAUUGCACAAUGGGCGAAAGCCUGAUGCAGCAACGCCGCGUGAGUGAUGAAGGUCUUCGGAUUGUAAAGCUCUGUCUUUUGGGACGAUAAUGACGGUACCAAAGGAGGAAGCCACGGCUAACUACGUGCCAGCAGCCGCGGUAAUACGUAGGUGGCGAGCGUUGUCCGGAUUUACUGGGCGUAAAGGGUGCGUAGGCGGAUGUUUAAGUGAGAUGUGAAAUACCCGGGCUUAACUUGGGUGCUGCAUUUCAAACUGGAUAUCUAGAGUGCAGGAGAGGAGAAUGGAAUUCCUAGUGUAGCGGUGAAAUGCGUAGAGAUUAGGAAGAACACCAGUGGCGAAGGCGAUUCUCUGGACUGUAACUGACGCUGAGGCACGAAAGCGUGGGUAGCAAACAGGAUUAGAUACCCGAGUAGUCC